rnacentral:rRNA from 1 species
ACGGGAGGCAGCAGUGGGGAAUAUUGCACAAUGGGCGAAAGCCUGAUGCAGCGACGCCGCGUGAGUGAAGAAGUAUUUCGGUAUGUAAAGCUCUAUCAGCAGGGAAGAAAAAUGACGGUACCUGACUAAGAAGCACCGGCUAAAUACGUGCCAGCAGCCGCGGUAAUACGUAUGGUGCAAGCGUUAUCCGGAUUUACUGGGUGUAAAGGGAGCGCAGGCGGUACGGCAAGUCUGAUGUGAAAGCCCGGGGCUCAACCCCGGUACUGCAUUGGAAACUGUCGAACUAGAGUGACGGAGGGGUAAGCGGAAUUCCUAGUGUAGCGGUGAAAUGCGUAGAUAUUAGGAGGAACACCAGUGGCGAAGGCGGCUUACUGGACGAUAACUGACGCUGAGGCUCGAAAGCGUGGGGAGCAAACAGGAUUAGAUACCCUGGUA